rnacentral:rRNA from 1 species
GCCUGCCUGUGACAAAAUUUAACGGCCGCGGUAUUUUGACCGUGCAAAGGUAGCGCAAUCACUUGUCUUUUAAAUAGAGACCUGUAUGAAUGGCAUAACGAGGGCUUAACUGUCUCCUUUCUCCUAUCAAUGAAAUUGAUCUCCCCGUGCAGAAGCGGGGUUAAUAACAUAAGACGAGAAGACCCUAUGGAGCUUAAGAUGCAAGAACAGAGCAUGUAAUUUCUUUUAAUUUUAAUAAAUGUAAACCUAUAUGUCACCCUGUUCAAAUGUCUUUGGUUGGGGCGACCACGGAGCAAUAAAAAACCUCCAUGAGGAAUGAAGAUACUUCUUUCCAUCUAAGGGUGACAACCCUAAGAACCAGAAUUUCUGACCAUUUUGAUCCGGCAAAGCCGAUCAACGAACCGAGUUACCCUAGGGAUAACAGCGCAAUCCUCUUUUAGAGUUCAUAUCGACAAGAGGGUUUACGACCUCGAUGUUGGAUCAGGACAUCCUAAUGGUGCAGCCGCUAUUAAGGGUUCGUUUGUUCAACGAUUAAAGUCCUACGUGAUCUGA